CGAAGGGUGCAAGCGUUAAUCGGAAUUACUGGGCGUAAAGCGCGCGUAGGUGGUUCGUUAAGUUGGAUGUGAAAGCCCCCGGGCUCAACCUGGGAACUGCAUCCAAAACUAGGCGAGCUAGAGUACGGUAGAGGGUGGUGGAAUUCCUGUGUAGCGGUGAAAUGCGUAGAUAUAGGAAGGAACACCAGUGGCGAAGGCGACCACCUGGACUGAUACUGACACUGAGGUGCGAAAGCGUGGGGAGCAAACAGGAUU
rnacentral:rRNA from 1 species